AGGAAUGCUCCUUUGGAUUGGUGAGCAGAACCAAGUGGAUCCUUCAGAGUUCCCAUCUGUGUUUGUGUCUCAGCCUGUGUUAUGAUUCAGGGCUGUAGCUGUUGUUGUCACUGAGGAGUCAAACUCUGCUUUAAAUAAUGAGACAGUGGCCUAAUGGCCAAGUGUCAAGAAAAAAGGGGGAAUGUUCUCUGAGUGUUGAGAUGUAACAAGGGCUGAUCCUUUCUGCAGGGGGAUGUAGCCUGGAAACUGCACAGAGCUGAGCCAAGGGAUUUAAAGGGAGUAACCAAGGGAGGUGAAGAAAGAAGGAAGAAGGGAAGUGAGGCAGCAGCCAAGCAGCACCAAGUUCCUGUGUCAGCAGGGAAUAACUCCUGUCAGCAGCAAGGUCCCGACAGAAGUGGCAGCUGCAGUUGUUCCUGUGGUGUGGGCCAGUGGACUUGCAGGAGAGUGGAAGAGGGCAGGACCUAUAGAAUGUGAAUGCAAGAACCUGCCAAGAAACCAAUGGCCAAGAUGAUUGAUGAAUGCAGGACCUGAGAGAACCACGUUGAAUGACAACCUCGAACAGUUUCCAGUAUUGGAUGGAAAAGAUGGCCUUUGCUGCAUCUCCUUGAGCAAGGAAAGCCAGGAAAACUUUGCUUUUGAAGGAGAAAAUCUGGCAAGUGGGAAGGAAGAAAAGCAGCCACCUGACUCCUCCCUGAGCCCCAGACAGCCCAUGAACUGCCUUCCUGGGAAUGGUAGGACCGGGUGGACUCUGGAUUGCUCCUUCUGGAUGUGUGGCUCUCCCCUGCAGGAACUCCAGGAACUCCUGGUGCCGCCUGGGCCGAUGGAUUGGACGCCCCAGCCCCUCCGUUCCUGCCCAGCCACUGGGGCCGUGUCGAGUGGUGGCACUGCCAGCCCCUGCAGGUGAAGGGGAAAGGGCCUUUGCAGGUCUUGGGGAUCACAUUUAUAGCAGCUAAAGCUGCAGAAAAAGGACCUGGGAUCUCUUCUUGAGUUAGGAAUGCUCCUUUGGAUUGGUGAGCAGAACCAAGUGGAUCCUUCAGAGUUCCCAUCUGUGUUUGUGUCUCAGCCUGUGUUAUGAUUCAGGGCUGUAGCUGUUGUUGUCACUGAGGAGUCAAACUCUGCUUUAAAUAAUGAGACAGUGGCCUAAUGGCCAAGUGUCAAGAAAAAAGGGGGAAUGUUCUCUGAGUGUUGAGAU